rnacentral:sRNA from 1 species
UGUUUGCAAUUAGCGAAACAUUUAAGCUCCCCCGGACAUGGCAACAUCAAAGAAGGACACAAAGGAGAGCCUCCCUCGACGUGAAGAGCCGCAUCAGGAGUCAGCCAUGGAUGAACAGCAGGAGUGCCCAGACUCACGCAGAACGACGCAGGGACGGAGCACCAGAGAUCCAAUAAUAGCAGGAGUGCAUCUGGAGCAGU